rnacentral:rRNA from 1 species
AUUGAACGCUGGCGGCAGGCCUACCACAUGCAAGUCGAGCGGAUGAGAGGAGCUUGCUCCUCGAUUCAGCGGCGGACGGGUGAGUAAUGCCUAGGAAUCUGCCUAGUAGUGGGGGACAACGUUUCGAAAGGAACGCUAAUACCGCAUACGUCCUACGGGAGAAAGUGGGGGAUCUUCGGACCUCACGCUAUUAGAUGAGCCUAGGUCGGAUUAGCUAGUUGGUAGGGUAAAGGCCUACCAAGGCGACGAUCCGUAACUGGUCUGAGAGGAUGAUCAGUCACACUGGAACUGAGACACGGUCCAGACUCCUACGGGAGGCAGCAGUGGGGAAUAUUGGACAAUGGGCGAAAGCCUGAUCCAGCCAUGCCGCGUGUGUGAAGAAGGCCUUCGGGUCGUAAAGCACUUUAAGUUGGGAGGAAGGGCUCAUAGCGAAUACCUGUGAGUUUUGACGUUACCAACAGAAUAAGCACAGGCUAACUUCGUGCCAGCAGCCGCGGUAAUAC